rnacentral:rRNA from 1 species
UGGUGGACAGUCCUGGGAAACUGGGUUUAAUACACCAUGUGCAUAUAUGUAAAGAUUGCUUCGGCAGUCGCUUUGGGAUGGGCUCGCGUCCUAUCAGCUAGUUGGUGAGGUAAUGGCUCACCAAGGCGACGACGGGUAGCUGGUCUUAGAGGAUGAUCAGUCACGCUGGAACUGAGACACGGUCCAGACACCUACGGGUGGCAGCAGUCGAGAAUAAUUCACAAUGGACGAAAGUCUGAUGGUGCAACGCCGCGUGGAGGAUGACGGUUUUCGGAUUGUAAACUCCUGUCAUCGGGGAGUAAGACUUAGUGGUUAAGAGCUACUAAGUUUGAGAGUACCCGAAGAGGAAGGGACGGCUAACUUCGUGCCAGCAGCCGCGGUAAUACGAAGGUCCCAAGCGUUAUUCGGAAUCACUGGGCGUAAAGGGAGCGUAGGCGGCGUGGAAAGUCAGAUGUGAAAUCUCAGGGCUCAACUCUGAAACUGCAUCCGAUACUCCCAUGCUAGAGGACUGGAGAGGUGUUUGGAAUUAUCGGUGUAGCAGUGAAAUGCGUAGAUAUCGAUAGGAAGACCAAUGGCGAAGGCAGAACACUGGACAGUACCUGACGCUGAGGCUCGAAGGCUAGGGGAGCAAAAGGGAUUAGAUACCCCUGUAGUCCUAGCAGUAAACGGUGUGCGCUUGGUGUGGGAGGAAUCGACCCCUUCUGUGCCGGAGCUAACGCGUUAAGCGCACCGCCUGGGAAGUACGGCCGCAAGGUUAAAACUCAAAGAAAUUGACGGGGACCCGCACAAGCGGUGGAGUAUGUGGCUUAAUUCGAUGCAACGCGAAGAACCUUACCUGGGCUUGACAUGCCGUCAUAGACUGUGAAAGCAGUUGUCAGUUCGGCUGGACGUGCACAGGUGCUGCAUGGCUGUCGUCAGCUCGUGUCGUGAGAUGUUCGGUUAAGUCCGGCAACGAGCGCAACCCCUGUGAAUAGUUGCUAACAUUUAGUUGAGGACUCUAUUCAGACUGCCCGUUUCAAACGGGAGGAAGGUGGGGACGACGUCAAGUCAGUAUGGCCCUUACGCCCAGGGCUGCACACGUACUACAAUGCCCAGUACAAUGAGAACCGAUACCGUGAGGUGGAGGAAAUCUAUAAAACUGGGCUCAGUUCGGAUUGGAGGCUGCAACUCGCCUCCAUGAAGUUGGAAUCGCUAGUAAUGGCACAUCAGCUACGGUGCCGUGAAUACGUUCCCGGGUCUUGU